UAGCUCGGGUUUCUCUUCAUUCACGCACAAAUCUUUCGCCUUUUACUAAAGAUUCCGUGGAGGGGAACGUUGAUGAGUUCUUCUUAUUUUGAAGGCUCUGCCACGGCAGAGCU